ensembl:lncRNA
GGCGUCUCCUGUCACGUGGUCGUCGCCUGUGUUCCCAGGGGCUCCCCGCGCGGGACUCUUGCUUCCUGCUUGCGUCCGGCCGGCCCCGCGUGCGGUGGCUAGCGGUGUCCGUCCUGUAUCCCCCAUGGCGGUCGUCGGGCCGCGUCGCCUGCCUCUGCGUCUGCGGCGGCGAGCCCGGUGAGUGGUCGGAGAAAUUGACUUGGAUCUCCCUGCGGUUCCCGUACGGCGUGUGACCUUGGGUUAUCUACGCUUCUACUGAGCCUCAGUUUCUCCAUCAGAACAAUGGCUCUGUACAAGACAGCGAGGCCUCCUUAGCCUGUUCCCAAAGACUCGGUGCAAGGUUACUGGUGUCGAGUAUGGUCUCUGGUCAGUUAUGUUUGGGGAGAAAGAAUCACUGGAGUUCGUUUUUGUGAGUGCAGAGUACUAACCUAGGGAUUGAAUAGAAGACACCCUUGCCGACCUGACCUACUACUUACUAUUCAUCCUCCCACCUCGUCGCACUGAUCCUGACCAGGACUUGAAAUUUGUGGCACUACCUCGUCGUUUCCACUAGGUGGCACUAUCACAAAGGACAACGGAGGGUCCUGAAAGCCAGCGCUGCAAACUGCAGGUGCCAGCCUGUUGUAAGGCCUGAUAGCUUUGGAGCCAAUUCACCUUGUGAGCCAUUGGCCUGACCGCCGUCACCACCUUUAUGUUUGUUGGAAGCUGACUGUACCUUGGUGCUGGGCUACUGAUACACUCCAUGAUGCUAGCAGAAAGCUUUAAUUGGCCAAGUUCAACUCUGGAUGUUUAAAGAAAUUAGUGUUCUUUGAGCCUUGGUGGGUGGUGGUGGAGGGGAUGCUGGUUUUCUUGUGAUGGGAGCAGCCUGAACAUUUACCUGCAUACCAUCUUUGUGCCUAUGUCCACAAGCUGGAAGCAUAAAAUACCGGGGUAAGCCAGUCCUAGCAGUACAGGAUUGUAGUCCCAACUACCAAGAGAGUCAGAAGUCAAGACCUACCUGGAUAACUUAGUAAACUCCUGCCUUGGUCAAUAACUAAUAAGAGCUGGUGAUGUGGUAGAACGCUUGCCUAGAAAGUAGAAGCCCUGAAUUUGACACCCCCCUCAUCACACACAAAAAGAGUUAAGUAUAAAAAGUCUAAUUUAUCAAGCAUUCCCUGAGCCAGGAAUAUUGAGCAAAUAUUCCUAACCCUCUUAACGCCAUUGCAAGGUGAGCAUUUUAACCCCUAUUUUAUAGAUAAAGGUCAGAAUCUAUAGCUACUGAGCAGAACUUCUGGGUCUGUCUCCAUGUCCUCUACCCUGUUUUGUCUGCUUGCCUGCUUCCUUUAUUUCUUUUGUUAUUGUCAGGGUCUUGCUGUAUAGCCCAGGCUGGCCUGGAUUUCAUUCUCUUGUCUCAACUUCCCAGUGCUUAUAUAGGCAAGCAUGCACUACCUUGCUCAACUCCUCUAUUCUGCCAGCCCCACAUGCUUCCUUUUAGAACUUUUCAGACCACGUGACCUUUAGCCCUUACCCAAGGCACUGGAACUUGAGGUCUUCCUCUCAGCCUUCAAGUACUGAAAUUAUAUGUUCUUGCACCAGGCCUGAGGAGCUUUAUAUGAAAGCAGUGUGUGUGUGUGUGUAAGCUUGUGAGUGCUUGGAACUGAAACCUGGGUCCUCUGCAAAAGCAAGAAUUCUUAUCCACCGAGCCACGUCCCCAAACCCAUAUACAAGUUUUAAAUGUAUACAUUUACAUAUUGUCCUGAAGAUUGAGCCCAGGGCCUCAUCCUGCUAGGCUUUGUCGUUGAGCUACAUUCCAUAUGGGGUUUAUUUGGAAGAAACCAUGACAAUAUUGCAGAUUGGUAAGCCACAUCUCCACCUCCCAGAGGAACCCAGAAGUCAAGGUCAGUGGGGCAUGAUGCCUUCUGUUGCUACUUCAUUCAGCAUCUCAGCUCUCUGGCUAAGAUAGCUUUCAGUUGCUGAUAAGCUUCAUGUGCAAUCAUCUAAAAUAAUUGGGCAUGAGUGUGGUAUCCCCCUGAACUGGAAAUGAAGUGGAUAUAUUUACUUAGUGAAUGCGGAGGCAAGUGGUUAAAAACUACCUGCCCUCAUGAACUUCAUAUUAAGGAAAAUAGAAAUUAUAAAGACAGAAUCUACAAAACCAACUGACUUGUUAAAUGUGGGAAAUGAACAAAUAUUUACUGAGCACCUUCUGUGUGGUACACUGAAGAAACAGCAUUGAAUGAAACUGAUUCAGUCCUUUCACAUUUCUGUUCAGCCUGACAGUAGAUCAGACACUUGGGCCAGCCAGAUGCCACGCAAGCCUAGUGUCUUGAGUUUAAUCCUGGGUACCACAAAGGUUGAAGAGCGUAGACUCCACAAAGCUGUCCUCUGAUCUUCACACACCAUGCCAUGGCCUUUGCCCUGCCCCCAACAAUAAAUAAAAACUUUGAAAACCAGACAUAUAAUGCAUAGACAGACACUCAAGCACUGACUUUUAGUUGUAGUAAGUGCCUCAGAGAACACUGGAGAUCUGGAAAGGAGUUCUGAAGAAAUAACACCAAUUUCUGAAGAGUGAGUAGAACGGGUGGAGCAAGAGCUGACAAGUCCCAAGUUAUAGAGUGUGAGGAAAGGGGAAGAACUCAAUUCAAGUUGUAAUUAGCCAGAUUUAUGAAAACUCCAAGUAGGGUGACGGCCUUAAAGCCAAAUCAAAGGCAUGCUACCAGCAAGAGGUUAAGGAAAGGAUUUUUGAAGAUGGAGAUGGCAAUUAUCUUGCUUCUGUGGAGUGGAACCUGUAGCUGUGUAGGAAACUACUUAAAUCCCCUCAGCUAUGUGAGGUGCUGUCUCUUUCCCCUUGUUCACAGCUAUGAAGGAGAUGCCUCUGUAUACAGUGAUAAGCAGGUUUACAGAAGCCGGAGCAAGCUGUUGAUCAUCUCACAGCAGUUACACCAUUCUGUGGAGUUUACUAGUUCAUCUUUCAGAAAUUUAGGGCAGAGGCCAAUAGACACCAAGGAGGCACCUGGUACAGAUUAUAAUUUCCUUAACCAUCACAAUGGCACACAAAGGUUUUAAGGAAAGAUGUAGCAAAUUGAAAGAACAGAAUAAUUGGUCUAGUACAGAGGAGAAUGAUGGAGGUAGGGCAGACAAAGACCGGAUUUUGGAGCAUUAGGGAUUUGAGCUUAUUGUAAGAACCGGGAAGACCGAAAGGUCAAUAGAGCCUUAAGCUGUGGAAGCACUAUAUCAGUAGCAAAUAUCAGUAGCAGCACUAACAGAGCUCAGCUUUGUGGGAAACCAAGAUUUGGUUCUGAAGUGGAAGGAGGUUGCAAAGGAAGGCGUAAAUUCUAAAACAAAGGAGAGGACCCAGCAGUACUCAGGAUUCUGAGACAGGAAGAUCAUGAAUUUGAUGCCAGCCCAGGCUACACAGAACCUGUAUUUAAAAAAAAAAAAAUGGAAAAAGAAAUAGGAUUGUAGGGUUAUCAGUGGUAGA